AAAGAUUAAGCCAUGCAUGUCUAAGUAUAAGCGCCUUAUACUGUGAAACUGCUAAUGGCUCAUUAUAUCAGUAAUAGUUUAUUUGAUGGUCCCUUACUACCUGGAUACCCGUAGUAAUUCUAGAGCUAAUACAUGCACUACGGUCCCAACAGCCUCGGCGGGCGGGAUGCCUUUAUUAGAUCGAAACCAAUGCGGCGCAAGCCGAUGUUGUGGUGAAUCAUGAUAACCUAGCGAAUCGCAUGCCUUCUGGGCGGCGAUGUUUCAUUCAAGUUUCUGCCCUAUCAGCUUCGGAUGGUAGGGUAUUGGCCUACCAUGGCUU
rnacentral:rRNA from 1 species